rnacentral:rRNA from 1 species
AGUGGAGCGACGAACCAGGCUUCGGCCUGGAGCAAAGCCGCGAACGGGUGAGUAACACGUGGGUAACCUGCCCCGAUGAUUGGGACAACCCGAGGAAACUCGGGCUAAUACCGAAUGUGCCCUCCGGCCAUAAGGCUGCUGGGGAAAGGAAGCUUCGGCCUCCGCAUCGGGAUGGGCCCGCGGCCCAUUAGCUUGUUGGUGAGGUAACGGCUCACCAAGGCAACGAUGGGUAGCUGGUCUGAGAGGACGAUCAGCCACACUGGGACUGAGACACGGCCCAGACUCCUACGGGAGGCAGCAGUGGGGAAUCUUGCGCAAUGCGCGAAAGCGUGACGCAGCAACGCCGCGUGGGGGAAGAAGGCCUUCGGGUUGUAAACCCCUUUCAGUUGGGACGAAGCUCCGUCGGUGAAUAGCCGGCUGGGGUGACGGUACCUUCAGAAGAAGCCCCGGCUAACUACGUGCCAGCAGCCGCGGUAAUACGUAGGGGGCAAGCGUUGUCCGGAAUCAUUGGGCGUAAAGAGCGUGUAGGCGGCUCGGUAAGUCCGCUGUGAAAGUCCAGGGCUCAACCCUGGAAUGCCGGUGGAAACUGUCGAGCUAGAGUCCGGAAGAGGCGAGUGGAAUUCCUGGUGUAGCGGUGAAAUGCGCAGAUAUCA